rnacentral:rRNA from 1 species
UCUUCGGCCGUCCGAGUUGUAAUCUAGAGAAGCGUCUUCCGCGCUGGCCCGUGUACAAGUCUCCUGGAAAGGAGCAUCAUAGAGGGUGAGAAUCCCGUCUUUGACACGGACUACCAGUGCUAUGUGAUGCGCUCUCGACGAGUCGAGUUGUUUGGGAAUGCAGCUCAAAAYGGGUGGUAAAUUCCAUCUAAAGCUAAAUACAGGCGAGAGACCGAUAGCGAACAAGUACCGUGAGGGAAAGAUGAAAAGAACUUUGGAAAGAGAGUUAAACCGUACGUGAAAUUGCUGAAAGGGAAACGCUUGAUGUCAGUCGCGUCGGCCGGGGAUCAACCUUGCUUCUCGCUGGGUGUAUUUCCUGGUCGACGGGUCAGCAUCAGUUUCGGUCGCCGUACAAGGACGAGGGGAACGUGGCACUCUCCGGAGUGUGUUAUAGCC